rnacentral:lncRNA from 1 species
GCUACCGAUUGUGCUAGCGAAAGCAGCUGCUCAUUCCAAAAUCUUACGGCCUAUUGGGCCUAGUCAAAUGACAGCUGCCUUUAUCAAUUAUUGAACGCAUUUCUAACCUUUAGUAAUUUAUUACCGGACGUCUUUUUAUAUAAUCAAUGGUCAAAGCAAUGGUCGCUGUUGUGGGCUGAACUUUUUAUAUCAAUAUUACGGGUAUACGGCUAAACUAAACCCUUUUUGGAGUACCAGCAAACGAGAUUACGCAGGCCUAUGUUUCAAAGCAAAGCCUUCCGCCGCUUUCUGGAAGCGUGGCCAGGGAAGCGGACGUUCGGCAUCUACCGGUUUCUUCCAUUUUUCUUCGUUCUGGGAGCGGCUCUCGAGUUUUCCAUGAUCAACUGGCACGCCGGAGUCGCCGGAGAGAUCAACUUUUACAAAACGUACAAACGACGCGAGGCGCAGAGGACGCUCGACCGAACCGGGGACUGAGGCGGGUGAGCUGAAUCGGCUAAAACUCGCCAUAUCUAGCCACAUCAGUGCUCCAACCGUCAGCCAGGCACAGCAGACCGCGAUACAGCGAGACAGUUGAGUCGAGCUCAACUUGAACCGUGUCUAGUCUGAGUCUGACCUGUCCCGCGUCCAGAAGAAACAAUUGCGGCUCGCCUUUUUGAAAGUCUAGCUAAGUCAGACUCCGGCCGAGUCUAGUCUCGCCCAUCGCGUCACGAUGCCGGCCGGCGUCCCCUGGGGCCCCUACCUGCGGUUCGUCUCCGCAGCCAUGCUGACAAUGUUCGUCGGCGCUCAGUGCGUUCACUUGGUGUACCGACCGAUGGACGAUCUGCCGGAGUACAUCGAGCUGGAGCGACAGCGCCGGAUGGCGGCUGGGGAGCUCGUGGGGGCCGGGGGCCGGACCGGAGGGGAGGGCGGUGACCUGAGAUGAGCGAUUCACGGCUCAUGAUGUAUGUGAGGUGUGCAAUGAGAGGUGAGACGAUGUGUCGGGAGUUCAGGCAAGGUCGUUUUUAAUGACAUAGUGGCUUGCCUAAGUGUAAGGUUGGCGAUUUUAGAGUGAUAAGAGCUAAUGCCUAAUAAGACCGACUGCAAUGCGUUAUUUGUUGCCAAAUGCAGUUCAAGUGGUCCAAGCA